rnacentral:rRNA from 1 species
AUUGAACGCUGGCGGCAUGCCUUACACAUGCAAGUCGAACGGCAGCACGGGUGCUUGCACCUGGUGGCGAGUGGCGAACGGGUGAGUAAUACAUCGGAACAUGUCCUGUAGUGGGGGAUAGCCCGGCGAAAGCCGGAUUAAUACCGCAUACGAUCUACGGAUGAAAGCGGGGGACCUUCGGGCCUCGCGCUAUAGGGUUGGCCGAUGGCUGAGUUAGCUAGUUGGUGGGUUAAAGGCCUACCAAGGCGACGAUCAGUAGCUGGUCUGAGAGGACGACCAGCCACACUGGGACUGAGACACGGCCCAGACUCCUACGGGAGGCAGCAGUGGGGAAUUUUGGACAAUGGGCGAAAGCCUGAUCCAGCAAUGCCGCGUGUGUGAAGAAGGCCUUCGGGUUGUGAAGCACUUUUGUCCGGAAAGAAAUCCUUGGCUCUAAUACAGUCGGGGGAUAACGGUACCGGAAGAAUAAGCACCGGCUAACUACGUGCCAGCCGCCGCAGUAA